rnacentral:rRNA from 1 species
AACGAACGCUGGCGGCAUGCCUAACACAUGCAAGUCGAACGAAACUUUUGGGUUUAUUGGCGCACGGCUGCGUAACGCGUGGGAAUCUGCCCUUGGGUUCGGAAUACCUGUGAGAAAUUUCUGCUAAUACCGCAUGAUGUCUUCGGACCAAAGAUUUAUCGCCCAGGGAUGAGCCCGCGUAGGAUUCGCUAGUUGGUUGUGUAAUGGCCUACCAAGGCGACGAUGCUUAGCUGGUUUGAGAGGAGGAUCAGCCACACUGGGACUGAGACACGGACCAGACUCCUACGGGAGGGAGCAGUGGGGAAUAUAGGACAAUGGGCGCAAGUCUGAAGCAGCAAUGCGGCGUGAGAGAUGAAGGGAUUAGGAUUGUAAAGUUCUUUUACCAGGGAUGAUAAUGACGGUACCUGGAGAAGAAGCCCCGGCUAACUCCGUG